AUGGGGUGGCAAAAGGCAGCGGUGGCGAGGGGCGGGGCUCGAUCAGGCGCCCGGUCGUCUCGCCGCUGGGCAGACCCGCGUGGCCCUGCCAGCCGAAGCAGCCAGAGAGAGGAGCGGCGGCCGCGGGCGCGAGGAAGCGGCCUGGGACGUGAGCAGCAGCACGCACUCCUGGUCCAGGCGAUCGACACCCAGGAUCACACAGAGCUCGAGGAGGACGACCUCAACCGGAUCACGGCGGGAGGCUCCGGCGACGCGCGGAAGGGAUCUUGGCAGGAGGGGAACGCGCGGAGGAGAUCGUGGCUGGAGGGGGACGCGCGGAGGUGCUCGUGGAAUGAGGGGAAUGCGCCAGCGCGGUUCCUCAGCGGCGGCGGAGCAGUUCCUGGACGGCGCACGUCCUGGCCGGCGUAG
rnacentral:rRNA from 1 species